AUUGAACGCUGGCGGCAGGCCUAACACAUGCAAGUCGAACGAGUGGCGGACGGGUGAGUAAUGUCUGGGACACUGCCUGAUGCAGGGGGAUAACUACUGGAAACGGUAGCUAAUACCGCAUACCAUCAGAUGUGCCCAGAGGGGCGUUGCUGGUUGGUGGGGUAACGGCUCACCAAGGCGACGAUCCCUAGCUGGUCUGAGAGGAUGACCAGCAAAACGGGAACUGGGCAACGGUCCAGACUCCUACGGGAGUCAGCAGUGGGGAAUAUUGCACAAUGGGCGAAAGCCGGAUGCAGCCAUGCGGCGUGUAUGAAGAGGGCCUUCGGGUUGUAAAGUACUUUCAGCGGGGAGGCGUUACCCGCAGAAGAAGCACCGGCUAACUCCGUGCCAGCAGCCGCGGUAAUAC
rnacentral:rRNA from 1 species